UGGGGAAUAUUGCACAAUGGGCGAAAGCCUGAUGCAGCAACGCCGCGUGAGGGACGACGGCCUUCGGGUUGUAAACCUCUUUAGCAAGGAAGAAGCGAAAGUGACGGUACUUGCAGAAAAAGCGCCGGCUAACUACGUGCCAGCAGCCGCGGUAAUACGUAGGGCGCAAGCGUUAUCCGGAAUUAUUGGGCGUAAAGAGCUCGUAGGCGGUUUGUCGCGUCUGCUGUGAAAACCCGAGGCUCAACCUCGGGCCUGCAGUGGGUACGGGCAGACUAGAGUGCGGUAGGGGAGGAUUGGAACUCCGUGGUGUAGCGGUGGAAUGCGCAGAUAUCAGGAAGAACACCGAUGGCGAAGGCAGAUCUCUGGGCCGUAACUGACGCUGAGGAGCGAAAGGGUGGGGAGCAAACAGGCUUAGAUACCCUGGUAGUCCACCCCGUAAACGUUGGGAACUAGUUGUGGGGUCCAUUCCACGGAUUCCGUGACGCAGCUAACGCAUUAAGUUCCCCGCCUGGGGAGUACGGCCGCAAGGCUAAAACU
rnacentral:rRNA from 1 species